rnacentral:misc_RNA from 1 species
AUUUUCACUUGUGAUCAAAUGUGAACCUAGACCAUAAUGGCAAAGAAAAAUAAACAAUGACAAUGAGAUUCAAGUUAAAGUAGGUCAAUUAAGAUAACGUACAAUAGUUGAUUUGUCAAUUGUCCCCCACCAUAACAUACAAAACAAAAGAGCCAUUAUGACUCUUCAACAAACAACUAUAAAUUCAUCAAAAACAAACCAUAGCUUCUGAAAUUGACAUAAUUCUGUCACACAACUUGUCCAAAUUGAAAAUUUUCACCCAAAAGCUG